rnacentral:rRNA from 1 species
UACGGAGGUGGCAAGCGUUACUCGGAUUGAUUGGGUGUAAAGGGUGUGUAGGUGGUGAAUUAAGUCGAACGUGAAAUCCCUUGGCUUAACCAAGGAACUGCGUUCGAAACUGAUUCGCUUGAGCGAUGGAGAGGAAAGGGGAAUUCCCGGUGUAACAGUGAAAUGUGUAGAUAUCGGGAGGAACACCAGUGGCGAAGGCGCCUUUCUGGACAUUUGCUGACACUGAAACACGAGAGCUAGGGGAGCAAACAGG